UCAGGAUGAACGCUAGCGGUGUGUUAACACAUGCAAGUCGAGCGCAUCUUCGGAUGAGCGGCAGACGAGAGAGUAACACGUUGGUACCUACCCCAUACUCAGGGAUAACCCUCCGAAAGGAGGGCUAAUACCGGAUGGUCCCGCAAGGGUAAAGCUUUUGCGGUAUGGGAGGGGCCUGCGGCCUAUCAGCUAGUUGGUAAGUGUAAAGGCUUACCAAUGCGAUGACGGGUAGUUGAUGUGAGAGCAUGAUCAGCCUCGAUGGGACUGCGACACGGCCCAUACUCCUACGGGAGGCAGCAGUGAAGAAUCUUCCGCAAUGGACGAAAGUCUGACGGAGCAACACCGCGUGAAGGACGAAGGCCCUCGGGUCGUAAACUUCUUUUCUGAGGGAAUAAGUUCUGAAGGUACCUCAGGAAUAAGGCGCUGCUAACUACGUGCCAGCAGCAGCGGUAAUACGUAGGCGCCAAGCGUUAUCCGGAAUUACUGGGCGUAAAGCGUCCGUAGGCGGCUAAAUUAGUCGGGUGUUAAAUUUUCGUGCCUAACGCGAAAAACGUACUCGAAACUGUUUAGCUACGAGUCUGAAAGAGGUCACUGGAAUUCCUACUGGAGGGGUAAAAUCCGUAGAUAGUAGGAGGAACACCAAAAGCGAAGGCAGGUGGCUGGUUCAGUACUGACGCUCAGGGACGAAAGCGUGGGGAGCAAACAGGAUUAGAUACCCUGGUAGUCCACGCCGUAAACGAUGAGUGCUAGGCGUUGAAGAGUUG
rnacentral:rRNA from 1 species